GCCACGUUGGUCUAGCGGUUAGAACGCUGGCCUUGUAAUCCUGGGGUCUCGGGUUCGAUUCCCGGCGGUGCCC
rfam:Zootermopsis nevadensis contig14672, whole genome shotgun sequence.